GAAAUGCGAUAAGUAGUGUGAAUUGCAGAAUUCAGUGAAUCAUCGAAUCUUUGAACGCACAUUGCGCCCCUCGGUAUUCCGUGGGGCAUGCCUGCCCGAGCGUCAUUUCAACCCUCGCGCCUGCUGGGCAACCAGCGGGCGCGGUGUUGGGGACCGGCGCGGGGUCGCACGACCCCGCCCGCCGCCCCCCAAAUGCAGUGGCGGUCCCGCCGGCGCCUUCCCCGCGUAGUAGCACACACCUCGCGGCCGGGAGCGCUGGCGCGGCACCAAAGCCGUAAAAUCCACGACGAAUCGCCGCCACGGCGAGAUAGUUUGACCUCGGAUCAGGUAGGAAUACCCGCUGAACUUAAGC
rnacentral:misc_RNA from 1 species